UUUUCUGUGCUGGUGUUGUGUACUCAGGUGAUACAUCAUAGGUCAUCAUAUUCACCUGAGUAACACAACACCAGCACAGAAAA